rnacentral:rRNA from 1 species
GACGAACGCUGGCGGCGUGCCUAAUACAUGCAAGUAGAACGCUGAAGGAGGAGCUUGCUUCUCUGGAUGAGUUGCGAACGGGUGAGUAACGCGUAGGUAACCUGCCUGGUAGCGGGGGAUAACUAUUGGAAACGAUAGCUAAUACCGCAUAAUAGCAGUUAUUGCAUGGUAACUGUUUGAAAGGUGCAAUUGCACCACUACCAGAUGGACCUGCGUUGUAUUAGCUAGUUGGUGGGGUAACGGCUCACCAAGGCGACGAUACAUAGCCGACCUGAGAGGGUGAUCGGCCACACUGGGACUGAGACACGGCCCAGACUCCUACGGGAGGCAGCAGUAGGGAAUCUUCGGCAAUGGACGGAAGUCUGACCGAGCAACGCCGCGUGAGUGAAGAAGGUUUUCGGAUCGUAAAGCUCUGUUGUAAGAGAAGAACGAGUGUGAGAGNGGAAAGUUCACACNGNGACGGUNUNUNCC